rnacentral:rRNA from 1 species
GAUAACCGCUGAAAGCAUCUAAGCGGGAAGCGAGCCCUGAGAUGAGUCAUCCCUGACCCCUUGAGGGUCCUAAAGGGCCGUUGGAGACCACAACGUUGAUAGGUGGGGUGUGUAAGCGCAGUGAUGUGUUGAGCUAACCCAUACUAAUUACCCGUGAGGCUUAACCAU